AGAGUUUGAUCCUGGCUCAGGACGAACGCUGGCGGCGUGCCUAAUACAUGCAAGUCGAGCGAACCAAUAAGAAGCUUGCUUUUUGUUGGUUAGCGGCGGACGGGUGAGUAACACGUGGGUAACCUGCCUGUAAGACCGGGAUAACUCCGGGAAACCGGUGCUAAUACCGGAUAGAUUAUCUUUCCGCCUGGAGAGAUAAGGAAAGAUGGCUAUUGCCAUCACUUACAGAUGGGCCCGCGGCGCAUUAGCUAGUUGGUGAGGUAACGGCUCACCAAGGCGACGAUGCGUAGCCGACCUGAGAGGGUGAUCGGCCACACUGGGACUGAGACACGGCCCAGACUCCUACGGGAGGCAGCAGUAGGGAAUCUUCCGCAAUGGACGAAAGUCUGACGGAGCAACGCCGCGUGAGCGAAGAAGGUCUUCGGAUCGUAAAGCUCUGUUGUUAGGGAAGAACAAGUAUCGGAGGAAAUGCCGGUACCUUGACGGUACCUGACGAGAAAGCCACGGCUAACUACGUGCCAGCAGCCGCGGUAAUACGUAGGUGGCAAGCGUUGUCCGGAUUUAUUGGGCGUAAAGCGCGCGCAGGCGGUCCUUUAAGUCUGAUGUGAAAUCUUGCGGCUCAACCGCAAGCGGUCAUUGGAAACUGGGGGACUUGAGUGCAGAAGAGGAAAGCGGAAUUCCACGUGUGGCGGUGAAAUGCGUAGAGAUGUGGAGGAACACCAGUGGCGAAGGCGGCUUUCUGGUCUGUAACUGACGCUGAGGC
rnacentral:rRNA from 1 species